GGGAAUCUUCGGCAAUGGGCGAAAGCCUGACCGAGCAACGCCGCGUGAAUGAAGAAGGCCUUCGGGUUGUAAAACCCUGUUGUUAGAGAAGAAAGUGCGUGAUAGUAACUGUUCACGUUUCGACGGUAUCUAACCAGAAAGCCACGGCUAACUACGUGCCAGCAGCCGCGGUAAUACGUAGGUGGCAAGCGUUAUCCGGAUUUAUUGGGCGUAAAGGGAACGCAGGCGGUCUUUUAAGUCUGAUGUGAAAGCCCCCGGCUCAACCGGGGAGGGUCAUUGGAAACUGGGAGACUUGAGUGCAGAAGAGGAGAGUGGAACUCCAUGUGUAGCGGUGAAAUGCGUAGAUAUAUGGAAGAACACCAGUGGCGAAAGCGGCUCUCUGGUCUGUAACUGACGCUGAGGUUCGAAAGCGUGGGUAGCA
rnacentral:rRNA from 1 species